UGGGGGGUCGUCUAACUGGUAGGACGCGGGACUCUGGAUCCCGUAGUAGUGGUUCGAAUCCACUCCCCCCAA
rnacentral:tRNA from 1 species